UUAAUGUUAAUUAAUUAAAUGCUGCUGUAAUGUGUUUUGAUAGUUUUUGAGGUAUAUUCCAGGAUGCAUCUGAAUGUGUUUUGGAAAGUGUUUUGCAUAUUAUCUGAACACUGUGCUUAAAACUCCACUGAUGAUUAUUAGUGUGUGACACUGACACACACACAGAAGAAACAAUGAUUUCUCUUAUUCUAAUGCUGGGGACACUCUGUUUGCUUGCUCAAGUGUCUCAUGAAGAGGUCCAGACUCCUGAGUCUCUGUCUGUUAAAGCAGGAGAAUCUGUCUCUAUCAGCUGCACUGGGACCAGCAGAGUUGGUAAUGACAUGAGCUGGUAUCUGCAGAAACCUGGAGAAGCUCCUAAACUCCUGAUCUACACAGCCAGUGAACUUGAAUCUGGAGUCCCAGAUCGGUUCAGUGGAAGUGGAUCUGAACCUGAUUUCACACUGAACAUACGUGGAGUCCAGCCUGAGGAUGAUGGAGUUUAUUACUGUAUGGGGUAUUAUAGGGAUGAAGUGUUCACACAGUGAAACAGCCUCGUACAAAAACCUCCCUCAGUCUGACACACUGAAAAUAUGUGAAUGCUGACUUCACAAUUUCAAUAUCAUAAUUAGUCUUACUCACUAGUUAGUUCAGUAUGAAUAAAAUUUGAAUAAACA